UGGGGAAUUUUGGACAAUGGGCGCAAGCCUGAUCCAGCAAUGCCGCGUGCAGGAUGAAGGCCUUCGGGUUGUAAACUGCUUUUGUACGGAGCGAAAAGGCUUCCACUAAUACUGGGGGCUCAUGACGGUACCGUAAGAAUAAGCACCGGCUAACUACGUGCCAGCAGCCGCGGUAAUACGUAGGGUGCAAGCGUUAAUCGGAAUUACUGGGCGUAAAGCGUGCGCAGGCGGUCUUGUAAGACAGGUGUGAAAUCCCCGGGCUUAACCUGGGAACUGCACUUGUGACUGCAAGGCUGGAGUACGGCAGAGGGGGAUGGAAUUCCGCGUGUAGCAGUGAAAUGCGUAGAUAUGCGGAGGAACACCGAUGGCGAAGGCAAUCCCCUGGGCCUGUACUGACGCUCAUGCACGAAAGCGUGGGGAGCAAACAGGAUUAGAUACCCUGGUA
rnacentral:rRNA from 1 species